rnacentral:rRNA from 1 species
GCAUAUCAAUAAGCGGAGGAAAAGAAACCAACAGGGAUUGCCCCAGUAACGGCGAGUGAAGCGGCAAUAGCUCAAAUUUGAAAUCUGGCUCUUUUAGGGUCCGAGUUGUAAUUUGCAGAGGGCGCUUUGGCGUUGGCAGCGGUCCAAGUUCUUUGGAACAGGACGUCACAGAGGGUGAGAAUCCCGUACGUGGUCGCUAUCCUUCGCCGUGUAAAGCCCCUUCGACGAGUCGAGUUGUUUGGGAAUGCAGCUCUAAAUGGGAGGUAAAUUUCUUCUAAAGCUAAAUACUGGCCAGAGACCGAUAGCGCACAAGUAGAGUGAUCGAAAGAUGAAAAGCACUUUGGAAAGAGAGUCAAAUAGCACGUGAAAUUGUUGAAAGGGAAGCGCUUGCAGCCAGACUUGCCUGUAGUUGCUUAUCCAGACUUUUGUCUGGUGCACUCUUCUGCGGGCAGGCCAGCAUCAGUUUGGGCGGUUAGAUAAAGGUCUCUGUCAUGUACCUCUCUUCGGGGAGGCCUUAUAGGGGAGACGACAUGUAACCAGCCUGGACUGAGGUCCGCGCAUCUGCUAGGAUGCUGGCGUAAUGGCUGUAAGCGGCCCGUCUUGAAACACGGACCAAGGAGUCUAACAUCUAUGCGAGUGUUUGGGUGUCAAGCCCAGACGCGUAAUGAAAGUGAACGGAGGUAAGAACCCUUUGGGUGCAUUAUCGACCGAUCCUGAUGUCUUCGGAAGGAUUUGAGUAAGAGCAUGGCUGUUGGGACCCGAAAGAUGGUGAACUAUGCUUGAAUAGGGUGAAGCCAGAGGAAACUCUGGUGGAGGCUCGCAGCGGUUCUGACGUGCAAAUCGAUCGUCAAAUUUGGGCAUA